AUUGAACGCUGGCGGCAGGCCUAACACAUGCAAGUCGAGCGGAUGAAGGGAGCUUGCUCCUGGAUUCAGCGGCGGACGGGUGAGUAAUGCCUAGGAAUCUGCCUGGUAGUGGGGGAUAACGUCCUGAAACGGGCGCUAAUACCGCAUACGUCCUGAGGGAGAAAGUGGGGGAUCUUCGGACCUCACGCUAUCAGAUGAGCCUAGGUCGGAUUAGCUAGUUGGUGGGGUAAAGGCCUACCAAGGCGACGAUCCGUAACUGGUCUGAGAGGAUGAUCAGUCACACUGGAACUGAGACACGGUCCAGACUCCUACGGGAGGCAGCAGUGGGGAAUAUUGGACAAUGGGCGAAAGACUGAUCCAGCCAUGCCGCGUGUGUGAAGAAGGUCUUCGGAUUGUAAAGCACUUUAAGUUGGGAGGAAGGGCAGUAAGUUAAUACCUUGCUGUUUUGACGUUACCAACAGAAUAAGCACCGGCUAACUUCGUG
rnacentral:rRNA from 1 species